rnacentral:tRNA from 2 species
GGGACUAUAGCUUAUUGGUAAAGCAGCGGCCUUUUAAGCCGUUGAUCGAGGUUCGACUCCUCGUGGUCUCA